GGCUCAUUAUAUAAGUUAUCGUUUAUUUGAUAGUACCUUACUACUUGGAUAACCGUGGUAAUUCUAGAGCUAAUACAUGCAAAAAAUCCCGACUUCGGAAGGGAUGUAUUUAUUAGAUUAAAAACCAAUGCCCUCUGGGCUCUCUGGUGAUUCAUGAUAACUGCUCGAAUCGCAUGGCCUUGUGCCGGCGAUGGCUCAUUCAAAUUUCUUCCCUAUCAACUUUCGAUGUUUGGGUAGUGGCCAAACAUGGUUGCAACGGGUAACGGAGGGUUAGGGCUCGACCCCGGAGAAGGAGCCUGAGAAACGGCUACUACAUCCAAGGAAGGCAGCAGGCGCGCAAAUUACCCAAUCCCGACACGGGGAGGUAGUGACAAUAAAUACUGAUACAGGGCUCUUUUGGGUCUUGUAAUUGGAAUGAGUACAAUUUAAAUCCCUUAACGAGGAACAAUUGGAGGGCAAGUCUGGUGCCAGCAGCCGCGGUAAUUCCAGCUCCAAUAGCGUAUAUUAAAGUUGUUGUGGUUAAAAAGCUCGUAGUUGAACCUUGGGCCUGGCUGGCCGGUCCGCCUCACCGCGUGCACUGGUCCGGCCGGGCCUUUCCCUCUGUGGAACCCCAUGCCCUUCACUGGGUGUGGCGGGGAAGCAGGACUUUUACUUUGAAAAAAUUAGAGUGCUCUAAGCAGGCCAAUGCUCGAAUACAUUAGCAUGGAAUAAUGAAAUAGGACGCGCGGUUCUAUUUUGUUGGUUUCUAGGACCGCCGUAAUGAUUAAUAGGGACAGUCGGGGGCAUCAGUAUUCAAUUGUCAGAGGUGAAAUUCUUGGAUCAUUUGAAGACUAACUACUGCGAAAGCAUUUGUCAAGGAUGUUUUCAUUAAUCAGGAACGAAAGUUAGGGGAUCGAAGACGAUCAGAUACCGUCGUAGUCUUAACCAUAAACUAUGCCGACUAGGGAUCGGACGAUGU
rnacentral:rRNA from 1 species